rnacentral:rRNA from 1 species
GACGAACGCUGGCGGCGUGCCUAAUACAUGCAAGUUGAGCGCUGAAGGUUGGUACUUGUACCAACUGGAUGAGCAGCGAACGGGUGAGUAACGCGUGGGGAAUCUGCCUUUGAGCGGGGGACAACAUUUGGAAACGAAUGCUAAUACCGCAUAAAAACUUUAAACACAAGUUUUAAGUUUGAAAGAUGCAAUUGCAUCACUCAAAGAUGAUCCCGCGUUGUAUUAGCUAGUUGGUGAGGUAAAGGCUCACCAAGGCGAUGAUACAUAGCCGACCUGAGAGGGUGAUCGGCCACCUUGGGACUGUGACACGGCCCAAACUCCCUCGGGAGGCAGCAGUAGGGAAUCGUCGGCCAUCGGCGAAAGUCUUACCGAGCAACGCCGCGUGAGUGAAGAAGGUUUUCGGGUCGGAAAACUCUGUUGGUAGAGAAGAACGUUGGUGAGAGUGGAAAGCUCAUCAAGUGACGGUAACUACCCAGAAAGGGACGGCUAACUACGUG